UUUUCCCCUUCUGUUUAAUAUUUCCCCUUCGUUCGCACGACAUUAGGCGGAGCAUAUUUAUAUGUGUGAGAGCAUAAGUGUGAGGUCGAUAAGAUAGUUAUUUUCUAAACCGUCUUAGCCUUAUCACCAUAAAAAUAUAAACAUAACCCUUGCUGUAUAAAUAUAAGUAUCAGUAAACAUGUAGUAUAAACAUUAUAAAAAUAGAUGCUUAUUUAGUUAAUUAAUAAUUAUUCUAAUAUUACUCAUCAUCCUUAAGUCUCAGUGCAUAAUGUCAGAUAACUUAACUCAUCAAGUUGCUCAAAAACAGCUAAUUUUGGAAAAUAAGCCUUCCUGUCGCUUAACACUUCAACAAAAACUCGAUAUUAUUAAGCUGCUCGAUGAAAAUCACUCAAAAACUGACAUAGCUGAUCAAUACGGAGUAACAAGAACUGCAAUUUACAAAAUAUAUAAAGCUCGUGACAAGAUACUAAAUAAUAAUAAUAAUAAUGUUACUUGUGAUAAUAUCGAUAAUUAUUAUGAUAAAAAAUUGUUUGAUCAAAAAGCAUUAGAAGCAGUUAACAUAUUACAACACUGGCAUCAAAUCAAUUGUGAUUUUAACAAUCAAGAUGUUAUUAAUGAUUGUAAAGUUUUAGAUAGUAACUUUAAACAAUUAAUAUAAAAUAUGUGUCAAUUGUAUUUAAUUCUGACAAAUUUUAAAAGUUAUCAAUAUAAAACGAAUAUUUAAAUUUCCCGGGCACUAUUUCAGUGUAUUGGUGAGUAACCACUCUUUGGAUUCAUUGGUUCAUAAAAAAUAAGCCACGCCUCUUUACGAUCUACUUUGAAUAGUUUCCUACCCCCGAGACCGAAACUUUAUAGAAAGUUUACUGUAAAUGAUAACAAUUAUUAUGGAAAACUUGUCAAAAUAUAAUCUUUCUUGGUUGUGAUAAUAACAUCCAAAAAAGGAUUCAUAAAAAGCGUUAAGGAUUAGAUAACUGUCUUUAAAAGUGUGACAAUCAGCGAGCUAAAACAGCAAUAGCCAUUGCUGCUGCUCCAAGAGUUGGUGAAAGAGUUGAAACAAAGAUCACCAACAUCAUAGUAUGUGGAAUAAUUGGUUAAGCUUAAGCUUUUUGUUUUUGUAAUCAAUGAUAAGUUAACCAUCGCAGUUUUAAACUCCAAAAUGUUCAAGAACUUUUCUCGUAUGGUUGUAAAAAAACGUGACAGAGCGAGGAUGUCUGCUAAAAAAUUGCUGAGACUUGAUAAGGUAUACAAAUCAUUGAAAAAACCAGGGCGUUGCAAAGAAAAGGAAAAAUCGUCUAGUGGAGUAACAGUUGGUUACAGUGCCUUCUUUCUGCUCAGCUGGAUCAUAGCAAUCUUUUAAAAAAUUCGGGCUCCAACUUAAACACUAGUUGCGGUGCAAGUUGGACGUCAUUAAUGUCUAUCACUAUUUGUUACCACAACAUAAUUUAGGCUGCACUGAUAAAUCGUUUGUCACCAUGAAAUUACCGAAAAAUGAUGACGGUGUUAUUAACGUUCCACUGCUGUGUUCACAAAUUCGUGGUAGACAAAUAAUUGAUGCAAUGCGUCUUCACAAAGUCGGAUUUCUAACGUAUUUACCAUUCGGUAAAUUCAGGCGCCGCUUUGGAUUACUUUUUAAUGAUUAUGCGGCUAAUGUACGCUCAUCAAGUCCUGUCGAAGACGAACGUAGAGUUGUGACAGACAUGCUAUUGACUAUGGACGUUGACGCUGCAUCUUACCGCGUUGGUCAGAGUCAGAUAUUCUUCAGAGCCGGUGCUUUAGAGCGAAUUGAGUCUCAACGAGAUGAAAAGUUGACGGGCCCUAUUGUGCUUUUGCAAGCAAGAUGUAGAGGGUACUUGGCGCGUAAAAAACUUAAUACAUUAAAGCUGACCCGGUGAACUUCGUAUCACCUAUAAUAUAUUUUACACCUUUCGAUCAGCGAUUACUGAUCUUUAAACUCUAAAUCUUAUAAAUCUCUAAAUCUUAUAAAUCUCUAAAUCUUAUAAAUCUCCAAAACUUAUAAUCUACUUCGAUGAAGAAUAAAUAAUAAAGAAUAAACACAGCCUUUAUUAAAUGUUCAUCGCACCGAAGAUCAGUUGAAAGCACGAACGGAAAAGCUAGAGUAGUUGAGAGCUAAAGUUGAAAAACUGGAACAAAAAAGAAAUCAUCUGAAGCACGACAAUGUCAAAUUGGAAGCUAAACUGAGUGUAUUGACUGCUGAUUACGCGGAUGAGCACUCGACCUCGACAUUGGCAGCUGAGCGGAUAGACGCCGAAACCUCAGAGCGACUUCGCUUGGAACGUCAACUCGAAGAUGUUACUGAGACAAAUAAAACGCUCCA
rnacentral:misc_RNA from 1 species